GACGAACGCUGGCGGCGUGCUUAACACAUGCAAGUCGAACGGAAAGGCCCUGCUUUUGUGGGGUGCUCGAGUGGCGAACGGGUGAGUAACACGUGAGUAACCUGCCCUUGACUUUGGGAUAACUUCAGGAAACUGGGGCUAAUACCGGAUAGGAGCUCCUGCUGCAUGGUGGGGGUUGGAAAGUUUCGGCGGUUGGGGAUGGACUCGCGGCUUAUCAGCUUGUUGGUGGGGUAGUGGCUUACCAAGGCUUUGACGGGUAGCCGGCCUGAGAGGGGGACCGGCCACAUUGGGACUAAGGUACGGCCCAGACUCCUACGGGAGGCAGCAGUGGGGAGUAUUGCACAAUGGGCGGAAGCCUGAUACGGCAGCGCCGCGUGCGGGAUGACGGCCUUCGGGUUGUAAACCGCUUUCGCCUGUGACGAAGCGUGAGUGACGGUAAUGGGUAAAGAAGCACCGGCUAACUACGUG
rnacentral:rRNA from 1 species